rnacentral:rRNA from 1 species
AUUGAACGCUGGCGGCAUGCCUUACACAUGCAAGUCGAACGGUAACAGGUCUUCGGAUGCUGACGAGUGGCGAACGGGUGAGUAAUACAUCGGAACGUGCCUAGUAGUGGGGGAUAACUACUCGAAAGAGUGGCUAAUACCGCAUGAGAUCUACGGAUGAAAGCAGGGGAUCGCAAGACCUUGUGCUACUAGAGCGGCCGAUGGUAGAUUAGGAAGUGGGGGGGAUAAAGGCUUACCAAGCAGACGAUUUGUAGCUGGUCUGAGAGGAGGAUGCGCCGAAUGGGGCAUGGGACACGGCCCAGAGCCCCAGGGGAGGAAGCAGUGGGUAAAUUUGGAAAAUGGGCGAAAGCCUGAUCCCGCAAUGCCGGGUGCAGGAUGAAGGCCUUCGGGUUGUAAACUGCUUUUGUACGGAACGAAAAGCCCCGGGUUAAUACCCUGGGGUCAUGACGGUACCGUAAGAAUAAGCACCGGCUAACUACGUGCCAGCAGCCGCCGUAA